AUCUUAAUCAAGGCUGUUGCUCAAGUUUUACCGACAUACAUCAUGAGCUGUUUUAAACUCCCAAAGUUAUUGUGUAUGGAGUUGGAAUUUAUGUUUGCACGGUUUUGGUGGGGACAACGUGGAUUUGAACAGAUGAAGGUUUAUCACAAAUCCUGAUUCAUUAUUUUAUAAGGUAUUUAAGGCUAAAUAUUUCCCACAUACAUCAUUUUUACAGUCAAAUAUUGGUUGCAAUGUUUCAUAUGUAUGACGAAGUAUCAUUGCUGCAAAGGACAUCCUCUCAAAAGACUGUAUAUGGAGGGUUGGAAGUGGUGAUUCUAUUCAUCUUGGGCAAGAUGGAUUGGUUGACACUUGCUUAGCACCUUUUGCUGAUGUCUGUUCUCAAAUACUCCCAACAAAUGCUACUAUGAAUGCUUUGAUGAAUCCAUCUUCAAGAACUUGGAAUGCAGAUUUGAUA